rnacentral:rRNA from 1 species
CGGAUUCGCGACGAUGAGUAUUUCGGUACGUAAAGUUCUUUUAUUAGGGAAGAAUAAAUGAUGGAAAAAUCAUUCUGACGGUACCUAAUGAAUAAGCCCCGGCUAACUAUGUGCCAGCAGCCGCGGUAAUACAUAGGGGGCAAGCGUUAUCCGGAAUUAUUGGGCGUAAAGGGUGCGUAGGCGGUUAAAUAAGUUUAUGGUCUAAGUGCAAUGCUCAACAUUGUGAUGCUAUAAAAACUGUUUAGCUAGAGUAAGAUAGAGGCAAGUGGAAUUCCAUGUGUAGUGGUAAAAUGCGUAAAAUUUGGAAGAACCCCCAUUACCAAAGGCGGUUGGUUGGGCUUUUCCGGACCUUAAGGCCCAAAGCCUGGGGAACCAAACGGAAUAAAAUCCCCGGGAAUCCCCCCCCUAAACCAAUAAUACCAAACCUUUGGGAAAAACCGUUGUUAAAUUUACCCCUUUAAUUCCCCCCCCGGGUUAGACCUUCCCCAAUAAGAAACCUAAAGGAAUUGACCGGACUUCGCACCAACGGGGGAAUAAGGUGGUUUAUUUCAAAGGUCCCCAAAAACCUUCACCAGUCUUGACCUUGUUCCUGCAAGCUUGAAAAAACCAGUGGGAGUUAUCAGUUGCACCGGGUGGGGCAUGUUGUCGUCAGCUUCUUUCGUGGAAUGUUGGGUAAGUCCCGCAACGAGCCCACCCUUAUUGUUAGUAACAGCACGUAUGGUGGGGGACUUUAGCAAGACUGCAGUGAAUAAUGGAAGAAGUGGGGACGACGUCAAUCAUCAUGCCCCUUAUGACUGGGCUAACAACGUGAUACAAUGGCUGGUACAAGUAUAACUAAAA